AGUUAACAGGGCUAUUGUUCACAGUGUGGUUGGCGUUGUAUGAAGUUCGAGAAGGCUGGUUUUGAAAAUCUCCUUUAACUUUGAAAUCUGCAUUUAUUUUGAUCUUCAUUGAUUUUUUAACUUCAUUCUGAAAAAGACGAAAUGGCACAUCGAGGUGGUCGCAGUGGUAAUGAGGUAGAAAAGGUAUUCCAGAUAAAGGAAAGAGAUGCAAAUAGAAAAACAAUACGCUGUGUUGUUGUACGAGAAGUAAACGUAAGUAAUGAUUUGUAAAUAACACUGAAAAUAGUUCAUCGGGCAAAGGGUUUGAUAAUUU
rnacentral:lncRNA from 1 species